CAUAUGCUUGUCUCAAAGAUUAAGCCAUGCAUGUCUAAGUUCACACUGUCUCACGGUGAAACCGCGAAUGGCUCAUUAAAUCAGUCGAGGUUCCUUAGAUGACACGAUCCUACUUGGAUAACUGUGGCAAUUCUAGAGCUAAUACAUGCCUAUGAAGCUCCGACCCUCGUGGAAAGAGCGCUUUUAUUAGUUCAAAACCAAUCGCCGGUGGUCUUCGGGCUGCCGGUGUCCCCUUUGGUGACUCUGGAUAACUUUGUGCUGAUCGCAUGGCCUUGGUGCCGGCGACGCAUCUUUCAAAUGUCUGCCCUAUCAAAUGUCGAUGGUACGUGAUAUGCCUACCAUGUUUGUAACGGGUAACGGGGAAUCAGGGUUCGAUUCCGGAGAGGGAGCAUGAGAAACGGCUACCACAUCCAAGGAAGGCAGCAGGCGCGCAACUUACCCACUCCCGGCACGGGGAGGUAGUGACGAAAAAUAACAAUACGGGACUCUCUACGAGGCUCCGUAAUUGGAAUGAGUACACUUUAAACCCUUUAACGAGGAUCUAUUGGAGGGCAAGUCUGGUGCCAGCAGCCGCGGUAAUUCCAGCUCCAAUAGCGUAUAUUAAAGUUGUUGCAGUUAAAAAGCUCGUAGUUGGAUCUCAGGUGCAGGCGGACGGUCCGGCUCGCGCCGGUUCACUGUCCGUAUUUCCUGCCCUACUGGUCUGCCGGCUCUCUCCCGUGGGUGCUCUUCGCUGAGCGUCCCGGGUGGCCGGCGCGUUUACUUUGAAAAAAUUAGAGUGUUCAAAGCAGGCCUCGGCUGCCUGAAUAAUGGUGCAUGGAAUAAUGGAAUAGGACCUCGGUUCUAUUUUGUUGGUUUUCGGAACUGGAGGUAAUGAUUAAAAGGGACAAACGGGGGCAUUCGUAUUGCGGCGUUAGAGGUGAAAUUCUUGGAUCGCCGCAAGACGAGCUACUGCGAAAGCAUUUGUCAAGAAUGUUUUCAUUAAUCAAGAACGAAAGUCA
rnacentral:rRNA from 1 species